rnacentral:rRNA from 1 species
UACGGAGGGUGCGAGCGUUAAUCGGAAUUACUGGGCGUAAAGGGUGCGUAGGUGGUUGAUUAAGUUAUCUGUGAAAUUCCUGGGCUUAACCUGGGCGGGUCAGAUGAUACUGAUUGACUGGAGUAUGGGAGAGGGUAGUGGAAUUUCCGGUGUAGCGGUGAAAUGCGUAGAGAUCGGAAGGAACACCGGUGGCGAAGGCGGCUACCUGGCCUAAUACUGACACUGAGGCACGAAAGCGUGGGGAGCAAACAGG